rnacentral:lncRNA from 1 species
CCAGAGCACCUCAAAGCUUCCUAAUCACACGCCACAGGAAAAGUCUGUGCUUUAGGUGUUUGUUAUCCUUCACCAAAACCAUCUAAACCCUUCUCUUAAGGAGAGUUUCUUUUCUGGUUUUAAGGGGGUGGGGAUCACAUAAUCAAAUAAAAUGGCCUGAAUUCCAGAGGCAGAAUCCCCCCAAAGCUAUAUUUCCACUAACUAGGAAACUUUGGAGUCACUGUAGGACCUACCCAAACAACCUGCCCACACAUAAACCCACACCAGGGUUAGCCCUGGGGAAAGGCUUAGGAAUGGCAAAGCAAUUAUGCAGUACGUUUAGAAGUAACCUUUUAUGACAUCUGCCCUUUAAGACUACUGUAAAAAGUAGACAUUUUCUAAAUUCUGGAUUCAUGAAAUUCAUAAAGCAAAGAAAAGGAAACUUGCUUAGAAAAUUGAGAAUGCCCUUUUAUGCUGUUUCUUCUGAUCACUAUAACAUUUAAUAAAUAACCCUUUAGCUGC